rnacentral:rRNA from 1 species
UGGCGGACGGGUGAGUAACGCGUGGGUAACCUGCCUCAUACAGGGGGAUAACAGUUAGAAAUGACUGCUAAUACCGCAUAAGCGCACGAGGAUGCAUGUUCUUGUGUGAAAAACUCCGGUGGUAUGAGAUGGACCCGCGUCUGAUUAGCUAGUUGGAGGGGUAACGGCCCACCAAGGCGACGAUCGGUAGCCGGCCUGAGAGGGCGGACGGCCACAUUGGGACUGAGACACGGCCCAAACUUAUACGGGAGGCAGCAGUGGGGAAUAUUGCACAAUGGGGGAAACCCUGAUGCAGCGACGCCGCGUGAGUGAAGAAGUAUCUCGGUAUGUAAAGCUCUAUCAGCAGGGAAGAAAAUGACGGUACCUGACUAAGAAGCCCCGGCUAACUACGUGCCAGCAGCCGCGGUAAUACGUAGGGGGCAAGCGUUAUCCGGAUUUACUGGGUGUAAAGGGAGCGUAGACGGCGCUGCAAGUCCGGAGUGAAAGCCCAUGGCUUAACCAUGGUACUGCUCUGGAAACUGUGGAGCUUGAGUGCGGGAGGGGCAGGCGGAAUUCCUAGUGUAGCGGUGAAAUGC